AAGUCGUAACAAGGUAACCGUAGGUGAACCUGCGGUUGGAUCAUUACUGAAUACUCAUCCGGGAUUCCGCAUCGGAUACCGGACACGCUCCUCGGAGUUUUGUCCGGCGUCCGGGAAUCCCGCAUGAUAUUACACCCCCUUGUGAAUCGUUACCCGUAUUUUGGCAGCCGUCCGAGAAAUUCCCCCUUUAACUUAAGCGGGGUUUUUCUUUUUCCGGCCGUCAGCAACAAAAACAACAGAAAAAAAACUAUGUUCCUGAAAAAACGGAACUUUUUCAUUCCGUCUCACAUGUAGAACAUUUUCAUUUUUGGGUAUACAUGUAAAGAAAAAAUGUAAACAACUUUUGACAACGGAUCUCUUGGCUCUC
rnacentral:misc_RNA from 1 species